GUGCUUGCUUCGGCAGCACAUCUACUAAAAUUGGAACGGUACAGAGAAGAUCAGCAUCGUCCCUGCAUAAGGAAGACACGCAGCUUCCUGAGAUAUGCUCUGAGGCA